rnacentral:rRNA from 1 species
CCUACGGGGGGCAGCAGUGAGGAAUAUUGGUCAAUGGACGCAAGUCUGAACCAGCCAUGCCGCGUGCAGGAUGACGGCUCUAUGAGUUGUAAACUGCUUUUGUACGAGGGUAAACCCCGAUACGUGUAUCGGGUUGAAAGUAUCGUACGAAUAAGGAUCGGCUAACUCCGUGCCAGCAGCCGCGGUAAUACGGAGGAUCCGAGCGUUAUCCGGAUUUAUUGGGUUUAAGGGGUGCGUAGGCGGUUUGAUAAGUUAGUGGGGAAAUGUCGGGGCUCAACCCCGAAACUGCCUCUAAUACUGUUGGACUAGAGAAUAGUUGCGGUAGGCGGAAUGUAUGGUGUAGCGGUGAAAUGCUUAGAGAUCAUACAGAACACCGAUUGCGAAGGCAGCUUACCAAACUAUAUCUGACGUUGAGGCACGAAAGCGUGGGUAGCGAACAGGAUUAGAUACCCGGGUAGUC